GGGCUAUAGCUCAGCAAGGUAGAGCACCUCGUUUACACACCGAGAAGGUCUACGGUUCGAGCCCGUAUAGCCCUA
rnacentral:tRNA from 20 species